rnacentral:misc_RNA from 1 species
CCGUGCCCGCGGGCCCGGCGGUCGUCUCGCGGCCGUCGGUGCCCGCAUCCGGCCCACCCUUGUCUAUUUUACCUGUUGCUUCGGCGGGCCUGCGGGCGGCCCAAAAGGGCCGCCUGCUGCCGGGAGGGGCUCUCCCUCCGGGCUCGCGUCCGCCGAAGGUUCAAUCAAACCCUGAUGUCAACGUGUGGUCUCAGUGGAUGGAUAAUCAGUUA